UACGUAGGGGGCUAGCGUUGUCCGGAUUUAUUGGGCGUAAAGAGCGUGUAGGCGGCCAGGUAGGUCUGCUGUGAAAACUCGAGGCUCAACCUCGAGACGUCGGCGGAAACCAUCUGGCUAGAGUCCGGAAGAGGAGAGUGGAAUUCCUGGUGUAGCGGUGAAAUGCGCAGAUAUCAAGAGGAACACCUGCGGCGAAGGCGGGUUGCUGGGCCGACACUGACGCUGAGGCGCGAAAGCCAGGGGAGCGAACGGG
rnacentral:rRNA from 1 species